rnacentral:rRNA from 1 species
AGGGUGACAGGUGGUGCAUGGUUGUCGUCAGCUCGUGCCGUGAGGUGUCGGGUUAAGUCCCAUAACGAGCGCAACCCUUACUGUUAGUUGCCAGCGGGUCAAGCCGGGAACUCUAACGGGACUGCCACCGUAAGGUGAGAGGAAGGUGGGGAUGACGUCAAAUCAGCACGGCCCUUAUGUCCAGGGCUACACACGUGUUACAAUGGUCGGUACAAAGGGCAGCUACACCGCGAGGUGAUGCUAAUCUCUAAAGCCGGUCUCAGUUCGGAUCGAAGUCUGCAACCCGACUUCGUGAAGUUGGAUUCGCUAGUAAUCGCGCAUCAGCUAUGGCGCGGUGAAUACGUUCCCGGGCCUU